GCUUAACAAACUGCUUUGCCGCCUAUAAAUGUAUAAAUGAACAGGACUUCACUGCUUGAUUCUUCGAAGAUUUUUCUCGGCGUAUUUAUACUUAACAUAAAAACAGAAUAGAAUAGACAUUGAGGAUAUCAAGAAAGUUGUCGCGGUUGUUCUCGUUGUCUUCUCGGUAGCAACAGCUCUUCCCGAGUUUCACAGAUUUCAAGCCCACUAUGGACAAGACACCAUUGCAGUUGAGAAAGUUGAAAUUGACAGGGACGAACAGUAUGCCAUUGUCACCGUGACUGCACUUUCAGGAACAAUCAUACCUACAGUCAAAUUUCACGACUUUGCUGCAGGCUACACUGCGAUCAAAGACGACGAGCGUGAGAGAUGUUACAUACUUAGGACGGCACAUACAUUAGAAGAAAUGAUGGACAACUUUAAGCAAUCAGUAGAG
rnacentral:lncRNA from 1 species